AGUAAAAAAUAAAUAUUAAAAACAGAAAGUAAAAUAAAAAUAAAAAAUUCAGAAAAAAAAAACAUAAAUUAAGAAAUUGUAGAAAUUGAAUAAAAAUAGAAAAUAGGAAAUUUAUAAAAAAAAUGAAAAUCAAAUAAAAAUUAAAAAUCAAAAAUUUUAAAAUAAAAUUUGAAAAUGAAAAGUACUUGAACCCUUUUGACAUAGCGGUGAGCCGGUGAUGGUGGCAAACUUAAUCAUAUCACUGUAAAAAGUUAUUAUGAAAUAUAAUAGGAUUUAAAACAUUUUGUUGAAUAUUAAAUUUUUGAAAGUUUUUUAAAAUUAUAAUUUCUUUUUGAAAUUUUAUAAACUAUUUUCAUUAUAAUGAUAAAUAUAAAAUCCAGUUUUUAUAGAUAUAUAAAACUAUAAUUUAAAGUAUCAACAAAUAAAAAUCAUUUCUUUUGCAGAACAAUAGAAAAAUACUAGAAUAUUGUUUUUUCAAAUCCAUUCCAUAGAGAGAGUCGUGUAUCCACAUGUCGUAUCUUUGCACAAUGGUCUUCUUAAGGGACCCUUGCCCAAGCAAAAGAUUCGGAGAAGCUCUUAUUCGGGUAUGAGCUUAGAAGUUACUAGUAGAACUCGACAGAUAAUAUGAACCACAAUCUAAAGAAAGGUCCAAGUUAUUAUCCACACUCAGGUCUAGGUUUGGAUCAAGGUUCAUAUCCAAAUUCAGGUCUAGGUUAGGGUUCACAUUCAGAUCUAUGUACUUUUUUCAGUCUGUCACCAGUAAACAUUGGUUGUGUUCCGGGAGUAUUUUUCAUGUAAAAAUAAAUACUUCGAAUUUGAAUCUGAUUUUUUGCAUGCUUCAUAAGGAUGGUUAAAACUAUUUUCUGGUAAAAAAAAUUUCUGGUAGAUGUGUCUGACAUUGAUUAUUACUAGUAAUCUUCUGGCCAAUUAGCUCUUUGUUUUACAGAAAUAAUUAAUGGAGUUUGUUCUCUUCUUCAUCAAAAUCUCUCUCUAAAUCUCUAAAUCUCUCUAAUCUUUCAAUCUAUUCUCUUACUUGUUAAAAUCUCAUACAGUCUGACAUUGAUUAUUACUAGCUCAACCAGACCAUUAGCUCAUAUGUGUACAACAAAUUCGCCAGGUGGCUCAUAUGUGUAUCAAAUGACUCCUCACAUUUAAAUUUGUCUUCAGAUAUGAUCUCAUACCUUGAAGAUGUGAGAUGACUUGCUUAGCUUCUCCAAGCACCCAAAACUUCACUACAAAAGCUACCAAGUUGUUAAUAACCAUGAAUCAUAGGCUUCAAUGUCUCUAUGAACCUUAUAAAGCUUAGAAUCAAAAUCUUUUUUUUUUUGAUGAAUUUGAAGAGAAAGUGAAAGAUAUGUGAUUUGUGUGCAUAAAUAAUGAGAUAUGAAGAGUAAAAAUCGAAACUUUGGUGCAUUUUUUUUUUUGGGCAAACAAACUUUGGUGCAUUAAGUGCUUCAAAUUGGUUGUUCAUGGUGGUUAGUGUAUUGAUGGCAAUUGCAAUAUUGUAAAUACUUGGUGAAGAUGAAGAUGAUAAGGUAAAAGACUCAUUUUCAAAAAAAAAAAAGUAAUGACAUUUUUGUGAAUAACUUAAACUUCUUGGGUCAAUAAAGAAAAAGAAAGUUUCAAAAAAAAAUAGUUAUUUUUGUAUUUGACUUGAAAUUUUAUUUCAUAUUUGAAAAAAAAACAAUAAGUGUUUGGUUUUGAACAUUAAUUUCCCGGUUUAUGCUAUCCACGAAUUUCUGGCAGGAGGUGUUUUACAUAUUAAUGUUCAUAGUGUUGAUGUGCAAUACGUAAUUUAAAGAUUUUAUACAGAUUUUAUUGUAUAUUAGAUUUAGGAAAUGGUUUAAUAAAUUAAAAAAAAAAAGACAAAAAAAUGAAAUAUAAGGUUAGAGUCAAUUAGUUACUUACAUAUGGCAUAGAGUUGUAAAUAAGUUGUAAGUCUAAGGGGUAUUUUAUAUUUGUACUCCGAUUUUAAUAAAUUAGAUAUCUUGCGAUGAAAAUAAAACUUUAUGCAUAUCAAAUAUUUCUUUUUUUUAAUUUUAUUUAUUAUAUUUAUAAUUUUUUAAUAUAAAAAUAGAUUUAUAAAAAAAAUUAGACUCUUUAACUAUUAAUAUACCGGGGGAGAGCACACGGGCUUGGACCCGAGACGGUUGCACCGCUUGUCCACGGCCGGUCCUGAAUGCUCUACAGACGGCCCUGAAUGCUCUACAUAAUGAGUGCCAUCCAGAUGUCAAAAGGAAAUUUGCAGCCACUUUGCGAAUUGCCAGCUACGUUCAAUGAUAAUCGUUGAUUAGAAGUAUGCUGGGAUCGGACAUAUCAGUGACUGAUUAUCCAGGGAAGAUUCCAAAGGGGGUUGCUGUUGUAGAGGAUAAUAACAUCAAAGGUUAAUCAAUGAUUCUUGUUUAAGCAUUGUCUUCCAACUUUCUAUCUCUACUAUCCCAUGCCAAAAACAAGCUUCGUUGUUGUAUGCAACUCUCUUUUUAUUAGUCUUUCGCAUUGAGUUAAAAAGAUCUUUAAGAUAUUUGGUGGGAAACUUGAUUUCUCUUUGCUAAAUUGAGACUUGUGUGAUAAGAUUGUUCGCAACUUUUC